AACGGUCAUACCAUGCUAAAUAUACCGGUUCUCGUUAGAUCACCGAAGUCAAGCAUCAUUGGACGCAGUCAGUACUUGGGGUGGAUGACCACCUGGGAACACCGCGUGCUGUUG